UGGGGAAUAUUGGACAAUGGGCGGAAGCCUGAUCCAGCAACGCCGCGUGAGGGAUGACGGCCUUCGGGUUGUAAACCUCUUUCAGUACCGACGAAGCGAAAGUGACGGUAGGUACAGAAGAAGGACCGGCCAACUACGUGCCAGCAGCCGCGGUAAUACGUAGGGUCCGAGCGUUGUCCGGAAUUAUUGGGCGUAAAGGGCUCGUAGGCGGUUUGUCGCGUCGGGAGUGAAAACAGCGGGCUUAACUCGUUGCUUGCUUUCGAUACGGGGCAGACUAGAGGUAUGCAGGGGAGAAUGGAAUUCCUGGUGUAGCGGUGAAAUGCGCAGAUAUCAGGAGGAACACCGGUGGCGAAGGCGGUUCUCUGGGCAUUACCUGACGCUGAGGAGCG
rnacentral:rRNA from 1 species